GGGGCAGCAUGAGGCCGGGCGGCUUUUUGGGCGCCGGACAGCGGCUGAGUAGAGCCAUGAGCCGAUGUGUUUUGGAGCCUCGCCCCCCGGGGAAGCGGUGGAUGGUGAGUGGCGUGGGGCGGCGACGUAGGGGCUCCCGGUCCCUAGCUUCAGUUCGGCCAUUAUGUCCCGGGAGCCGAGUGCCCCCAAAUUGCUGCUCUGUUUUCUUAACUGGCUUGGCUUGGACUCAUCGUCAACAGCAGCAGCAUCAUCAUCAUCACCAUCAUCAUCAUCAUCAUCAUCAUCAUCAUCAUCAUCAUCAAUGGCUGAGCCCUCACUGUGCUUCCUGGGAGCCGGGCUCAGCUUCCCGCCUCCACGGGCACUACAGGAGGGAACAAAGUCACCUGUCAGGAUCAUGUGGAAAGAGGCCAAGGGUGGAUUUAACCCAGGCACCACAUGAUUGGAGAGGGAGCAUCUGCAAAGAUGGAGCCCUGCAGUGCCUGCGUUAGAAAAGCAUUCUAAGGCUGAGGUGGGCGAAUCACCUGAGGUCAGGAGUUCAAGAUCAGCCUGACCAACGUGGCAAAACCCUGUCUCUACUAAAAAUACAAAAAUUAGCUGGACAUGGUGGUGGCUGCCUGCAAUCCCAACUACUCGGAGGCUGAGGCAGGAGAAUCACUUGAAACCGGGAGACAGAGGUUGCAGGGAGCCGAGACUCGCCACUGCAUACUCCAGCCUGGGCAACAGAGUGAGACUCCAUCUCAAAAAAAAAAAAAAAAAAAA
rnacentral:lncRNA from 1 species